rnacentral:snoRNA from 14 species
CCUGUCCCUAGAGGCACGGCAGGGGUGGCUGCUGUGACACACGUGCGUCAGUAGGUGGCAGAGAGGAGAGAGGCUAUGGCUAUGCUCAGUGUUCUGACCUGUGGACAUCUGAAUGAUUAAUAGCCUAACGUUC